rnacentral:rRNA from 1 species
CCUACGGGGGGCAGCAGUGGGGAAUAUUGGACAAUGGGCGAAAGCCUGAUCCAGCCAUGCCGCGUGUGUGAAGAAGGCCUUCGGGUUGUAAAGCACUUUCAGUGGGGAAGAAAGCCUUGGGGCUAAUACCCUCGAGGAAGGACAUCACCCACAGAAGAAGCACCGGCUAACUCCGUGCCAGCAGCCGCGGUAAUACGGAGGGUGCGAGCGUUAAUCGGAAUUACUGGGCGUAAAGCGCGCGUAGGCGGUCUGAUAAGCCGGUUGGGAAAGCCCCGGGCUCAACCUGGGGACGGCAUCCGGAACUGUCAGGCUAGAGUGCAGGAGAGGAAGGUAGAAUUCCCGGUGUAGCGGUGAAAUGCGUAGAGAUCGGGAGGAAUACCAGUGGCGAAGGCGGCCUUCUGGACUGACACUGACGCUGAGGUGCGAAAGCGUGGGUAGCAAACAGGAUUAGAUACCCCAGUAGUC